AGAAGAAGAAGUACCUUGGCCCAAAACACUUUUCUGCUUUGUCGUCCUUCCCUAACAUCAUAUCCUUCAUCACAUCGAUGCGAGCCACGCCAAAUGCUGGAUCAGGGUGGUUGUCAUAGCGAUCUAUGGUCAGCUCCCAGUAGUGGACGCCUUUGGAGAAGCCGGUUUUCCCCAGCACCACCCGGUCAUCGUAGCUACUGCACGUCACUGUCAAGUUGUCAUUGGAGAAGAUGAUGUCGGAGUGGGCCGAGCCGGGGUCAAAAGCAAACCAAGCCACUGGGAACAACAGAAGGGAGGUUUGCUGGGAUGAGCCUAAGGCAAACGGUCCGCAUAUAAAGGAGAGUGGAAUCCAGUGCACCCACUAAAAGACGCCUCACAGCGAUUAACAGCGGCAUGACCUGAGUGUUAUAAACAUGAAGGCACAGUUUUGGAACUGAGCAGCCAUUGGGCCAUAAUCUAUGGAGGAGAAGUGUGUUUUCAGAGCACAGCAAACAAGAGCUGCCACAGAGGGCUGCAGGAGCCUCAGAAGGCUGAGCUCUGCUGCAGUGCAAGCCAGCGGUGGAAUGUUCUCUGCUCCUCGGGAAGAUUUAAAAACAGACAAGGAGGACCAUGGAGAAGAAGGCUGUUUGCUCAAACGACCAAGCAGAUCAUGAACACUGGCAACCCUCCCGAAUUCCUCUGUGGACCAAGCUGGAAUGUGGUGAUGGAGAAAGGAAGCCGACCCCUCACCCCUACACAGACCAUAAACCUUAAGGAGGGUUUUAUGAAUACUCAAGGGUGGUAAGAGGCUCACACGCAUUCACCUAUGGGAUUUUUCAGAGCCACCUUCUUCUUCUCUCUGUUUCAUAGACAAAGAAGCUGAAGCCCAGUGAGGUUUCAUGGCUAACAAGAGGCGGGACCGGAGUCUGAAGCCUAGCAGGAUGGUUCUGAGCCUGUGGGCUUGGCACACAUCAGCUGCUCCUGCAGCUGGGGCUCAGGGAUUUUGAACUAGAGCAAAGUCUUCACACCUCAUUCAAGUUGUUUCUUUUUGGAUGGCAAAGGUCCCAAGCAUUACUGUAGUCACUGCUGCUCCCACUCAGAGCUCCGGUGUCAGAAGCGCCAUCUUACAGCCCCCCCUUCUCUGAAGGUUUACCUGUCGACCAUCCAUUCCCUUCUACAGUGGCUGAACAAUAAAAGCAGCAUUUAAGCUUUAGAGCAGAGGUUCUCAACCUGUGGGUCGUGACCCCUUUGGAUGUUACAUCAAAUAUUCUGCAUUGCAAUUCAUAACAGUUGCAAAAUAACAGGCAUGAAGUAGUAACAAAAUAAUUUUAUAGUUGGAGGUCAGCACAACAUGAGGGUCACAGCAUUGGGAAGGUUGAGAACCACUGGUCUAGAGGAAAUACAGGGCAUUUCUAGAAAGUUAUCACUGUCCACUGGAAAGGCUGGCAAUCAUACAUGUUCUGAGGACAUACACAUCAGCCCCCUCUGCAUGUGAACAGAUUGCCUGUACAUGUGUAGGUUCUCUCGCAGCUCAUUCCCUGCUUGAGUCAGCUCAGAUCGCCCUGUCCUUGCCUGUGACCUUGGAUAUAUCAAGAGAUGUUGCAUUAAGGAGGAGUUAAUGAAGAUUAAUAUGUCCCCAGGGGAGGAGAGCCACUUAAAGGAAUGCACAGUUACUCGGUCUAUGUGCUGAGAAGGCUGAUAGUCUUCGAAGAAAGUAGAUGCUCAAAACCUAUUCUCAGCCAUACGGCAGAACCCUGGGCAGACUGCAAAAAGACUCCCAAUACUCUAUUCCCAUGAACCCAGGAAGGAGCUGACAUUAUCAACUGAGAUAUCAGAAAAAUAUUCCUAAAAUGAUCCCUAAUAAAAG
rnacentral:lncRNA from 1 species